rnacentral:lncRNA from 12 species
UGCCCCCACCCCACCCCACCCUGGCCACCAGACCCACACAACAUGAGGAUGUUGUCCAUCUUGUUCACAGCUGUACCCCCAGCACAUGGAACCAUCUCUGGCACAUAGUAGGAGCUCAAUUAAUGUCUGCUGUUGAAUGGACAUAUUGACGCAUAGGUCCGUCCCACACACAACUGACUCUAAAUGCGUCCAGAAUUCGACUCGUGAAGAGAGUGUGAGAAUGACCAUAUUGGGCACAGAGGACUCGCAAGGGCAAAAAGCCGCAGGGGAACUGCUUACAGAUCCCUGGAUCCUGGGGGCGGGCCACGGAGCAGCGAGGGAACAAAAUGUUUCAUCUUUGUGUAGUGUUUGUGGCCAAAUCGCCUGACCCAGAAGGAAGAGAACUGGGGAGGGAUAACGCCACCGAGCCAGACCGCCUCCGCCAGCCUCCCCCAGCUCCAGUUCCUGCGUGCACGGAAAGGGGGAGCCUGCAAACCACACACCUCCAACCGGGGAGGAGUGUCCUCAGGAAAAUGGGCUCAGAGACAGAUUAUCUGGCUGCACCCUCCUCCUAUGUCUACCCACCCCCCCACCCCGGGGGGUGCAGCUGCUUUGUUUCCAGGUCGACCACACUCAGGAAGUGGAUGACCCUCCUUCUGACCUAUCAUCAGAAGGUCAGUAGCGGCCUAAAGCUAGGCGCCACGUGCCUACGUCAUUCAUCUCACUUCACGCCUCAUGGAGGCACGUUAUCAUCUCACACCAUCACUGGAAGAAGAAGGAAGGGUGAGUACUGUACAGUAAGAUAUUUUGAAAGAGAGAAACCACUUUCACAAAACUUCCAUUAUGGUCAUUGUUAUCAUUGUUCUCUGUUCUUAUUAGUCAUUAGUGCUCAUCUCUCACUGUGCCUAAUUCAUAAGUUAAAUUUUAUCCUAGGUGUACAUGUAGAGAAAAAAGGUAGUGUAGACAGGGUUCAGUAUUAUCCGUGGUUUCGGGCAUCCACCGGCGCUCUCCCAACCUAUCCCCUGCAGAUAAGGGGGGGGCACUACUGUACAUUCACAGGCACAGGGCUGGUACCAGUGACCCUCCUACUCCAUCAUCUGGGAUGA